rnacentral:rRNA from 1 species
UACAGGGGGUGCAAACGUUGCUCGGAAUCAUUGGGCGUAAAGCGCACGUAGGCGGUCCGGUAAGUCGGCUGUGAAAGUCAAGGGCUCAACCCCUUGAAAGCCGGCCGAUACUGUCGGACUAGAGUCCGGAAGAGGCGAGUGGAAUUCCCGGUGUAGCGGUGAAAUGCGCAGAUAUCGGGAGGAACACCAAUGGCGAAGGCAGCUCG